AAUGUACAAUGUAUUUUUUGAUUUUUUUUUCCCUUUCUUGUUUUUGCACAUUUUUUUCUUUGCUGUAUUAAUAUUUUGAUGUUGUGGAAAGUCAAAAAAAAAUUUUUUUUCUGAUUUAGUUGUCAAAAUAAAAUAAUAUUUAAAUGUAUUUUAAGAUGUAGAACAAGUAAGACAGUAUUAAUAUGGUGAUCUUUCUAUUUAUUUCAAAAGCCUGAUUAUUGCUUUAAUGUUAUCCGCUUGUAAGCCAUGUAUGAUCAGCUGCUAACUUCCAAUGUGAAUUAUUCUUCAUGUGUGAAUCUUAAUCUUCUGACACUCUAAAUUUACAAUCAUGUAAAUGUUAGGACAAAGGUCUGUUUCCAAACCAUGUAACUGAUGAUUAUGAUUUAAAAAUUUUAAUUUUCAGUGGCCUACAUACUUAGUAUUAUGUUAAAUUUCUUUGAACUCAAUAUUAUUAGUUUUUUUUCUAUUGCUUUAUGUCUGUGAAUCCCAAAAUAUGGCCCACAUCCGCCCGCAACGUUUCCUCCACUGGCCUGCCAAAAGGUUGGCACAAAGCAUACAAACAGAGAUAACUUUCAGAUAUCCCUCAAAUGAAUGUAAGACUAGAUCCACAGGUUUCUAAUAAAAUUGUUUCAGGCCAAGUUUAUUUCAUUUUUUGUACAUUUUUCGGUCAUGUGGCCCGCGACAUGAGGGCCGGAAAAAUAUUUUGGCCCACAGGUCGAAUUAGGUUGGGCAUCACUGCUUUAUGUUGUUAAGUGUAUUUUUGUGUAACUUUGGCUAUAGGUUUAUAUUGUUUAAAUGUGUACAUUACAUCAAUCAAGGAAAACUUCCAAAUUUUAUCUACAGCCUAAAAAUAUUUGCAAAUAUUUAAAUGUUAUUUACAGAUUCAGAUGUAGGUAGCAAGUAGAUUUUGUGUGCUGUAUGAUACCCUAAGUAUAUUUUAAAUAUAUACAUCUUUUUUUCUAUGUUUGUAUCAUUCGGUUUCAUAAAGUAUUUCAAAGCUUUGCAUAAUAGAGAUUCUAUUACUUACUAGUAUCAAUAUUUUUUCUAGAAGUAUUUUAGCGUAGGAGUAUUUAAAAAGAUGUUUAUUGUGUAUAGUUUAUUUCAUUUAGAACCAAACAUUCAUUGAAUAUUUUAAAAUUUCCCUAGUGAAGCUUAUGACCUAAAUUAUAUUGAUACAAAUACAGAAGAUUGAAUGUGUCCAGGGCUAUAAGAUACUUAUCAAAGUUGAUUUCUUCCAUUCCAUAGUGUGUCUAUUUCAUCUCAGUGUGUAUUCAAGUGGGAUUUUUUUUUGUCUUAGUUAAAAGGAAUAUUUUUAUAUAAACAUUUCGAUGAGAAACACAAUGAAAUUUGUCUGCUAUUGUUGAUUUGAAUUUAAAUUAUAUUAUUUAUCAUCCAGAAAUUAUUCCCAUAUUUUUUAUGUUUUC